GUGACUGUAAAACUGGAGAAACAUCAACAUAGUGCCAAAUCAGAAGAGGGUCGCCUACACUAUGAUGGGGAAUGGUACGGACGAGGACAAGCCAUCUCCAUUGACAAGAAGGAUGAAUACCCAACCAGGUAUAGGACCUUCUAAAAAAAGGAUAGCUGAAUAUACCAUUAUCAUACUACAGUAUACUGUCAUAUUUUAUUUUUGUUCCAAAUAUAAUGAGCUACUUGGAAACAUUUGAGGGCUGCUGCUUUCCCAGAAAUCUGUCUCUACUGGGCAGUCCCAAAAGUAGAUGGACCAUAAAGGGGCAGAAUCGUCCCUAAAAUGAGCAUUUUUAAUUUUUUAUUUUUUUUUACUUGGUUUAUUAUGCAGAUUUAAGUAGGACGUGUGUGGGGCUAAAAGCAGCUUCAUGCCUUUACCCACAUUAACGUGUUGCCCUUGAAACCUGGCUAAUGCCUGCCUUAUCUGAAGCUUCUAGUGGGAUAGCAACACAUACCCGUGCUUGCUACUUAGCUGGUAGAAAGUGCAUCUUGUUAUUGGUUUGCUGUAUGUUUUUUAUUUUUUAAAUGCCCCACUCCUUCAGUUUAGUAAACCUAAAAGAAAUAUUAAUAAUCAGGUUCCUCCUAACAGAUGCUUCCAUGAAGGUGAGGCUUUUAUAGAGACAUACGCUAUUCCCAUGACUCUGCAAUCUGUUUGAAGGUAUGUAACAUAACCACACAUCUCCUGACCAACUGCCUUUCCUUCUUCAGGUUUUCUUUUUCUUUUUAUACUGUAGUGUGAAGACUAUCUAAAAAAAAAAAAAUAAUCUUUGCACCUUGUGUGCUAAUGCAUAGAAUGAUAUUUAGAGGUUUAUUUAGGUUUAAAAAUCUGUUUUAAAAACACCAUAAAAAAGGAAGAUGUUCCAAAUACAAACCCCAAAAUUAAUUUUCUAAAUUGUAUCCUUUUUCUUGUGCUUUAUUUUAUACUCCAUUUUUUUUUUUUUCAUGAACAUUAAAUCUACUUUUACUGUCACCCCUACUCCCCCCUUGUUUUUUUACAUUUAAUUUUUUUUUCUUUUUUUUUUCUUAGUGCGAUCAUUACAACAAUAAACAGCGAAGAAGUUUGGUUUAAAAGACAAGAUGGCAGCAAGUCCAAACUAUAUAUUUCACAGCUUCAAAAAGGAAAAUACAGCAUAAAGCACAUCUGAUUAUGUACUUUGUUUCAACUGCCACUUGUCAUUUCUGAACUGGCCUCUGGGACAAUCUGUGCCAUUCAAAGGAAU